rnacentral:rRNA from 1 species
AUGCCGCGGUCCUGCUCCGCCGCCGCCCUCCUCCUCCUCGUCGUCCUCCUCGCCGCCCCCCUCCAGCCCACCUCCGCCGCCAACCCCGACGCGACGGCCUUUGGCCGCGCGGCGUUCCUGAAGAAGCUCACGCUCCUGGGCUCCGCCUCGAUCCUCCAGGGCCGCCAGCUCGCUGUUGCGCUUACCACCAACUCCAGCGACGGCAUCGGCGCCGGCCGCGCCCUCUUCUCCGACCCCGUGCGCCUCCUCCUCCCGCGAGCCGACCCGCGCGCCGCCCCGGCGCAGGCCUCCUUCGCUACCCGCUUCACCUUCCGCAUCACGCCCUCCCCAAGCUACGGAGACGGGCUGGCCUUCAUCCUCACCUCCUCGCCCACCUUCCUCGGAGCCUCCAACGGUUACAUGGGGCUCUACGCCGCCGCCCCCGCCCCCGCUUCCGCCCCCGGCGUGUCCACCGUCGCCCUCGAGCUUGACACGCACCACGACGUCGCGCUCCACGACCCCGAUGGCAACCACGUCGCGGUCGACGCCGGCUCCAUCUUCUCCGUCGCGUCCGCGAGCCCGGGCGUCAACCUCAAGGCCGGCGUUCCCAUCACGGCCUGGGUGCAGUACCACGCGCGGCGCCGCCGGCUCCAAGCGUGGAUCUCCUACUCUUCCUCGCGACGCCACCUCGACCCCGCUUUGUCACUGGCCAUCGACCUCUCGGGACUGGUCGAGGAGCUCAUGUACGUCGGCUUCUCAGCCUCCAACGGCGAGGGCGGCAGGGCGAUACAUCUCAUCGAGAACUGGUCCUUCCGGACAUUCUGGGAUCUAAACACGGCGCAGGGCCCCCCUCCCCUGCCUUCCUCAACACAGCAUAAGGACGAGACAUCUGUCAGCAGCACACCGCCCACGUCUGCUACCGCAAAACAUCGCCACGUCGUCCCUGCAGUUUUGGGUGCCUUGAUCUUCGUACUGGUCCUCGGGGGCAUCAUCUGUGUACUGUUCCAUCGCCGCCGUCGGAAGGCAGGGAGACGCGUUCAGCUCGCAGUCCAAUCCGAGAUGGCUCGGAGUGUCUGA